AAGCAGGCAAAAGUUAAAACAACAGCCAUUCACUAAAAUCUAUUGAUUUAGAUAUCAUGAUUGUCCUUGGUAUAGGAGAGGUUGAAUCUAGCUGGAGCUUCCUUUGAAAUCAUGAUCAGGAAUAAAACCCAGCACAGGUCUAUGAGUGGGCUUGAAUAACAUUUAUGUCAGGAAUCUAUUUUGUCUGCCCCCUUCCCUUAAAAAAAAAAAAAAAAAAAAAAAAGGCUUUUCAUAGCUUGUUCACACUGCUCCCAAGCUUUUCCAGCCAAACAGGUGUUGAGGUUAAUUGGGUAAGUAGCCUGAAGCUUCCAGUUUUCAAACAAACUUUAAGUAAAUAAAUAACCCCAAGUGGACCCAGAAGGAUAGCCUUGCACAAAGCCUCAAAGCUGUGUGUUACAGCACUCGAGGUUCCCUCUCUUAUCUCUUUUGCAGACCCAGGCCUUUCAGAAAGUAGGGCCGUCAGCCUUUGUGGCUAAGGCAGGGUGCCUUAAUUGCUUCCUAUGCUUUUCGCAGCUGUCAGCCCCUAAUGGGGUCGGGGUCGGCAGGGGAGGGGCACUCGAAGGCUUUGUGUCCUUUCACCACCUGAAGCACUCCUGGCUGCAGAGUAAGAUUGUCCCACAUUUGCCAGACCUCCAGGUCCCCAAAAUGUGGCCUGUGCCUGCUCACCUUGUCCUGGUGCAGGAGAAAACUCUUUAUCAAUCUGCUAAAAAAGGUACAGGAACCUUUUCAACACUUAGAAACUAGACAAGAGCUGAAGAAAACACACAUAAUCACAAUAAGAGAGACUGAAUAUGCCAGCUUCUUAAAAACUGCAAACCAGACCAAGAGAAGUAAUAUGGUAAUUAAAGCAAUGACUGCAAGAUGACAACUCAUACAACUGGAGCCAGGUGUGGAAAAGGGCCACAUGGGUCCCUCCGGUCCCUCCAAGGACUGUUGAAGACAGAAUGGGACAAGAAGAGAGGCGAUGGUCUCCUUGCUUCCCCUUGAGACCCAGUCCCACACGUUCAGGUGGUCCUGCAGUGGCAGUUGGUGGCAGCAGGAGAUGAAGCCUGGGGAGCAAGGCGUGAAGCCAGCCCUUUGACAGCAGCAGGCAGGAGCAGUUGUCUCCUCUCUCAAAGUCUAGUUUUUCAAGCACCAACUUUUGUAAUGUAGCAGUUUUGACCUGAAAAACACAUGAUCUCUUUUGUUGUGGUUUUGUGUGUGUGUUUUGUGUUUUUUUCUUUUUUCUCUCUCUCUUUUUUUUUUUUUUCCUCUUCUGGAAUUACAAAUGUGGGACAUGAAUUGCAAUAAGUGACCAGGCAAGCAGAGGAGGGGCUUAGCCAUACCUCACCUGGAAUCCACUCCAAUGCCCACUGAUGAGAGUAAUCUCAAUGGGCAGGCUCUUGACAGGACAUAAUUGCACUCCCAGCAGAGCUGGGCAGUCACAGAGCAUCUCCACUUGAGGCCAUUUACUAGCUAUUGUGAGAGUAUUUACUUAUUUUGAAUGUUUAUAAACUCUUGUUGGAACACAAGUCCUAUAUGGAUUCAUCUAAAUCCUGAUCUUUUUGAUCUGCAAAACCUUCAGUAAUUGAAAAAAAUCCAUUUCAUCUCUUGCUUCAGAACAUCAUGUAUAGUUUAUAACCUAGGAACCCAUGGCUCAGAUUUAAUGGUAAUCAUAUAACAUCUGUUUAAUUUUAAAAUUUAUAUGGAGGCUUUUUUGGAAAUCCCUUGGAGUUUUUUGACUUUCUGUCUUCUCUAUGCACACAGAGGAUGUAGAAAAUUAAUUUCCUGUGUAAAAAUACAAGAUGACAGAAGGUCCAAGGUUAAACCUAUUUACAAAGAAAAUCACUGCCAGUGUUUAGAAAAUUCUGCUUUUAUUUGAAAUAUUUGGAGGUGUACCUGGCUUCCCAUGUCCUCAUGGUAUUUAAGCAUAUAAGGCUUUCUGUCCAAUAAACCAUAGUGAAAAACCUCCUCUGUACUGAUU
rnacentral:lncRNA from 1 species